UCUUAUGGAUGAGCAAAGAAAGUAGUUUCUUGAGAUGGAAUCUAGUCCUGGUGAAGAUGUUGUGAA
rnacentral:pre_miRNA from 1 species